GACGAACGCUGACGGCGUGCUUAACACAUGCAAGUCGAACGGAAAGGCCCUGCUUUUGUGGGGUGCUCGAGUGGCGAACGGGUGAGUAACACGUGAGUAACCUGCCCUUGACUUUGGGAUAACUUCAGGAAACUGGGGCUAAUACCGGAUAGGAGCUCCUGCUGCAUGGUGGGGGUUGGAAAGUUUCGGCGGUUGGGGAUGGACUCGCGGCUUAUCAGCUUGUUGGUGGGGUAGUGGCUUACCAAGGCUUUGACGGGUAGCCGGCCUGAGAGGGUGACCGGCCACAUUGGGACUGAGAUACGGCCCAGACUCCUACGGGAGGCAGCAGUGGGGAAUAUUGCACAAUGGGCGGAAGCCUGAUGCAGCAACGCCGCGUGCGGGAUGACGGCCUUCGGGUUGUAAACCGCUUUCGCCUGUGACGAGGCGUGAGUGACGGUAAUGGGUAAAGAAGCACCGGCUAACUACGUG
rnacentral:rRNA from 1 species